ensembl:misc_RNA 7SK 7SK RNA
UGUGAGAUAACUUGACUCUGACAUCUGCCUUCUUGUUGAUCAUUAGAAAUGAUUCCACUGAUCUAGCUAGCUAAGGAUGUGUCCUUUCCAUUCCUCAUCACUGC